rnacentral:rRNA from 1 species
CCAUGCCGUAAACGAUGAUUACUAAGCGUCGGGGGUCGAACCUCGGCACUCAAGCUAACGCGAUAAGUAAUCCGCCUGGGGAGUACGUACGCAAGUAUGAAACUCAAAGGAAUUGACGGGGACCCGCACAAGCAGCGGAGCAUGUGGUUUAAUUCGAAGCAACGCGAAGAACCUUACCAGGACUUGACAUAUAUGAGAAAAGCUUAGAGAUAAGUAAUACUCUUCGGAGACUGAUAUACAGGUGGUGCAUGGUUGU